rnacentral:rRNA from 1 species
CCUACGGGUGGCAGCAGUGAGGAAUAUUGGUCAAUGGGCGCGAGCCUGAACCAGCCAAGUCGCGUGAGGGAAGACGGUCCUAUGGAUUGUAAACCUCUUUUGUCGGGGAGCAAAAGACGCCACGCGUGGCGUUCCGAGAGUACCCGAAGAAAAAGCAUCGGAUAACUCCGUGCCAGCAGCCGCGGUAAUACGGAGGAUGCGAGCGUUAUCCGGAUUUAUUGGGUUUAAAGGGUGCGUAGGCGGGAUGCCAAGUCAGCGGUAAAAAUGCGGUGCUCAACGCCGUCGAGCCGUUGAAACUGGCGUUCUUGAGUGGGCGAGAAGUCUGCGGACUGCGUGUUGUAGCGGUG